rnacentral:lncRNA from 1 species
AGCAUAAAUUGUGUUAUUGUAACUAAAAAGGAAAACCGAUGCAAACGGGAAAACUGGUCGAUCUUUGAUGUGAUUAGAGAUGGUUGGGCGGAAAUGGUUAGCUUUGACCAUGUUGGACUUGGCCACGAUUGGCAAUAAAUUCUUCAAUAUUUGAGUAAAUUGACAACGGGAAAUAUGUUCGUAUAAGAUAUCUUAUUAUGGCGAAAAGUAUCCCAUAUACAUACAUAUCCCCUGUCAAAUUAUACUUACAUUAAUCCAGUUUACAUUGCCGCGGUGCAACAUAUGAUCUUUAAAUCAAGUCAAAAAUUAUGAUAUGAUCCCCCUUGAGAUCAUUAUUUAAUCACAGUUUUAUGAACGGCUUUUCCAAAAAUAGCACGGAUCUCCCAUGAAUUCAACUCCCAACAGCAACUCCCCGGCACAUUUGCCAAAUCAAUAUGCAAUAUCCCACAAGUAAAGGAUUUCAAACUCUCACUCGAAUCUACACACACACACGCUCAGUGGGCAAUCAUAUCGAUGGGGGGAAAACUGAACCGCCUGUCAUAAAAGCCGCACACACAAAAAUACGAGUAGUUGGCUGCAUCAAGAGGGAACUGUGGCAUGAAAAGCACAAAAACUAGGUUAGUUGCCGAGAUUUUUUACCUUCGCUAACAUGACCCCUCCUCCUCCUUCCCUUUCCUUCCAGCCAACAAACCCCCUAGAAAAAUAACAAUUGCACCCCGUAACCCCUGAUCUCUGGCACUGCCACUCGCCGUCCCAAAGCCAUCCGUUCAUGUCUCUGCCAAUGCAUUUCAAAACAGGAGCUGCAGGAGCAGCGAAUCGAGAAAGGCGUUCGGCCAUGCCCCUCCGCCGCCCCCACCAUAUCUGUCAAGUGAACUGGAAGUGAUAAGGAUAUAUAGGGGUCGGUAUGGUGGAGCUAGCUAUGGACGAAGGAAGAACGCUGAGCGUGUUCACGUGCAAAAUUGCAGCGAUUCCCCAGCGAGUUUCGAUUUCUCCUUCAAAAUCGAAUUCACUUUGCUGAGUACACUGAGAGGAAAUCAUGAAC